UUUGAAAAUUUGAGUAUUUUCGGAAAACACGGUGAAUUGUUAAAAUUUAAGUAAUUUUCAGAAACAUAUUCUAUUAAUUAUGAAAAUUUGAGCACUUUUUAAUAAUACGGUAUUUUGUGAUUUUUUUUUUCAUAUUUUCUAAAAAAAACUCCAUUAAGGUAAAAAAGCAAACCAAAUUUCGCUUCGUAUGAUAUGCAUAUUGCACAUUUUGAAAAUGUGAGUAUGUAAUUUCGAAAAAAUACGGAAAUUUGUGAAAAUUUUAGUAUUUUCUAAACACAUAAAAUAUCGUCAUCGUCCGGAUAAAAACGAUAUAACGAUCGUUAUCAUUAUCAAGUCUCGAGAAUUUUAUCGUUAACAACCGUGAUUUACAAAUAUAAUUGGUCUAUAAAAUAAGAAAUUUCAAAACUCGCGAAGAGAGAAGCACGACUGAAUCUCUUUAAAUUUUCGCUUUUGUGAGUUCAGGAAAACUUUUUUGAAGAAAAUUCUUCUUAACUGAAGCUUGAAAAAAAAAUCUAUUUUGAAAAUAUGAAGCACAUUUAACAAUAUCUGACGAAAAUCUCGAAAUUCUCAAAAGAGAGAGAAGAAACCGGGUUUCUCACAAAUUUAUCUCUCGGUUUAUGUUAUUUGAGACGGAUUUUCUUCCGAUCGUCUGCGAAAAAGUGACAGCUUGUCAUGCGGUAUCUAUCAAUUCUCAUAAACACAUAUUAGUUUGGUUGAAAUCGCUCCCGAAAAUCUCUAAACUCGCAAAAGAUUGAAGAGAGAUUCUCCUUCAAUUUUAUCUCUUUUGAUAUUCUGGCAUCGCUGAUGAUAGCUCUUUUGCAAGGUGCUCACAUACACUACCAAACAUUUGUUUUGAUGGCUUCAAGAUUGUUUUGUAAACGUUACAGAGACAAGGCAAAAUUUAUUUUAAUUUCAAUUUGGAAUGAAAACUCAGGAAACUUUUCAGAAGAAUCUUCACGGAUAUUUACUAACAUUGGUGGUUUAUAAAAACUGAUAUGACGUUUUAUUUUUGACUGUUCUAGUAAGAUAGAAAACUCGUCCAAAAAUCUCGAAACUCGCAAAAGAGAGAAUGGAUACUGGUUCGCUUUCAAAUUUCUCUCUCAGUUUGAGUUGAGACAACCUCCAAAUUCACGAAAGAGUGAAGAGAAUUUGGCCCUCUCUUAAAAUUUUAGCUUCGCCUUUUAAGAAGUGCUCACACAUACUAUCAAACAUUUGUUUUGAUAGUUUGCUGACUGUUGAGUAAAAAAUGGAAAUUUGAUUGCUCUUUUUUUGCUGACACUCAGAUAAAUUGUUUUAAUAAGCUUAUAAAAUAAGUUGGAUGACUAAAUAAUUUCGCAAAAAUUAGUCACUCUCUUGUUUAAGGAUUUACUGGUUCCCAUUUUCACAGUGUGUGUAUUUUAUCAAAAGGUGGUCAUUAUUAACGAUGUAUGUAUUGGUUGUAACUCUGCUCUAUUUAGGUUCUAUUGUUUCAAUGAGUGUAUGGCUAUGUGUGAGUGUGUGUUGCAUUCCGCCUGUCGCCCACAACUGAUUUUGUAUCUUUUGUUUAAGUAGGAAUUCUAUUUAGUGUUAUGUACUUGCUUUGUUUAAAUCUUCACGUCGCCAUCGUACUUUUUUCGUCGCUUUAUUUACUGAUUUACUGCUUGCGCACUUUACUAAUUAAAAUAUUCACAUUUAUCAAAUUGAUGUAAAUUGCGUAGAAAAUGUUUCAUUCCCGUUUUAAGUUCAUUCAUUUUUUUCUUCUCUUGUCUUCUCUCUGGGUUUUAUUUUUGUGAUGUUCGUUUUUAAGGGGCAGGGGAGGUCACAAAACGUGAAUUUAAUUACUGAUUUUUCGUUUUCUUUUUUUUAGUUCAAUGGAUUUUAAACGCUCGUCACACUACGUUUCGAUUCGGAUUCUGACUGGUUUUCAGUGUUUUGUUUUUGUUUUGUAUUUCUCAAGAAAUUGGAAGGAAGCAAAAGAUGGGAGUUCGUGUGUAUAAAAAUCGUAUUAAAUGGUGCUGGUGGUGGUAGUUUUUGUAGCUCGAAAAUAAACAAUUCAACGGUGUAACAGUAUUGGUGGAAUCGAUUCGAUUGCCUCGUUUGCGUUUAGAUUUUUUUUUAUUUGGUAUUCGUGUGAAGUGUGUGUGUGAGUGGGACUUUGGAGGUUGCUCUGCAGCUGCGCACGUGUGUAUUAGUGUGUUAGGAGUGUAAAAAUUAGUCUACCUUAAAAAAUGCCUUUUACACAAUCGUUUGUAUCGUUCGUUCGAUGGGGAAAAUUAUCGCAAUAUUGGUUGCAGUCUAGAAGUAUCUGUGUGGGAGUGUUGAGUAAAGUCGUAUUGUUUCAAUGUAUAGAGCAAGCUUCGUUCGUGCUGGUCGACUUGGGCGGUCGACGGAGCUGAUUCUUAAACUUUCUUCUUUUCAGUGACGGGAAGGAGGGGUGCUCUAAGCGAUUUUGACUAUUUGAUCUUCAAUUACGUGAUUUUUUUUUUGUUUUACUGAUAUGGUACAUUUUAGUAUUUUUCCAAGUCGGAUUUAAUGAUUCAAUUUCUCGCAGCUCUGCGCUCGCCGAUUUGAUUUCCUUCGUUUAAUUUACUUGUUCGGAUUAAAGUGUGCUGAUUUUGGCAACGUGAGACGAUAUUUUUUAAGUGUGAUUCUUUAAUGUGUUUGUUUAAUGCUGAACUCUUUUUCGGGACUGAAAUUUUCCUCCGUGUUUUCUUUUUUGGCACAGUUUUCCAGUGCACGUGGUCUUUUCUGUCACUUGACAGUACUACAGUGUUUGUGUCUUCUCUUUUUUUUCAAGGGGAGCGCCAUCUAUGGCCGCCUCCUACCUUCACAGUAUCUCUAUUAGUGUGUGUGUGUGUUUCAUCCAAAAGGGGUUCGCUCACUCAACAAUGUUCGUGUGUUUUUUUGUAAUUGAUUAUAAUCAUUAAAUUGGGUUACCUCUUAACAUAUAGUCAACUUUACAAUUUGGUUUACUGUACUAUUUGAAAAUUCAUAGAAUUUCGUAAAUAUCUGCUCAGCGCCACUUUUCACUGGGAAACCGUCGUCGUUCCUCGUCGUCCUGCGCCGUCCACAUCCUGCCACGAGGGGUCCUCCAAUCCAGCAAGUUGGCUUCCCGUGGAAAAAGUUCCUUUUUUUGCUGAGUAACUUUUGCUGCAAGGGUUCACUUUAGCGCUCACCCUUACAUACUUGUUUUAUCUUCUUUCAAUUAACUACCACUUAAUUAUUAAUUGAUUUAAAUUGUAUCUCCUUUUUGUGCUUUCAAGUUCGUGAUUUAAUGCCUCAAUUGUUUUCUUUUAAUACUUGUUUUAUUCAAUUAUUUAAUGUCUUACUCUGUCUGUGGUUUUACUUUUUUUUAUUUCCCUCACCCAGCUAGUGGAUUUGAUCUUCGGGAGACUUUCACUAAUACCUUUAAACCUCUUGCUAGAAUUACGCUUAAACUAUCAAAACGUGAUGAAAAUCAAUCCGUCAACAAAUAUACCCACUUUUUUGUACGAAAACGAAAUUGUUCUAGUUUUGCUUUAAAUGUUUACCUUCUCUUUUUUUUAAACUACAUUUAUAGGAAAAUGGUUCAGUACUGCUUUGUUUGUAUGCUUUUAUUAAUUCUUCCCCACACUUUGUUUUGGUUCCAUCUGGCCCUAACUUCAUCGCAACAAAACCACAACAAAACUGUACAGAACUGUCACCGUUUUGCUGGCAACCGCCCCACUGCAGUGCUGCCUCUUGUUCUUCUUUUUGUCUUAUUAACCUUAUCUCAGCGAAUGUAAAUUGUUUACAUUUAAUAAGAAAUGCGACUGUUUUGUUUUGGGUUUUCGUGUGUGUGUUUUUUUUGCUUUGUUUAGCUCAGCUUUUUUUUCUUACAGAGCAAAGGAACUCGGAGCGCGGUGGAGCUGACAGGUGAGUUGGUUGGUUGGUUGAGGGUUAAUUGUAGUUUCUUAAAAAAAAUCACCCAUCUCAAGGAAGAUCUGGAAGCCUUGUCUUAAGUUAUGGGUACCCAGUUUUUUAUGAAGAAUGUUCUGAAAUUCAUUAAAAUAAUUUAAAAAAAAACUAUUUAUUCUUCAAUUAAAAAAAAGAUCUGGCAACACUGUUUUACAGUAACUUUGCCUAAAUUGAAUUCAUUACAAUUUUUAAUGUUAGAUGUUGAAAAUUUUCCACAUCACUAAAAAGUUGUCAAAAAUAAUUUCUCAUAUGCCAAAACCAUUGAAAAUCUGGCAACCCUGUUUUGAGAUUUCAGCACUAAAUUUAUAAAUAGGAUAAGAUGCUAUAAAUUUUAUUCAAAACACCAUUCAAACUCCUACUUUCAAACAUUCUGGAAACACUGCUAAGAAAUAUCGAUACCAUUUCGAUUCAAAGUUUCUUGAAAAUGUAAAUUAAACAAGAGUCUGAACAAGGUUAAGUUUUGAAUGAUUUUCAAAAUUUUGAAAUUUUAUCUGUUACUAUCACUAGCAAGAAGCACGUAAAAUUUAUUGUCUGAGUUUGAUCUUUUUGAGAUCUGCUAUUCAAAGUAGUCAAAUUAUGAAGUGUAAAGCAAUUGAUGUCAGAAAUGUAUAAAUUUUCCGUUAAUUUUGAAAUAAUUUAAUCACCAACUUAUAAACUGAUCAACUUGGUUUAUGGCUCAUUUUAAAAAACUUCAAAAUUAGUGGAAAUCUCCCACUUUUAUCAUUUUGUAACUGUGAUUUGCAUUACCUCGAUCGUUUAACCACCUUAAAAUUCAACAACUCCUCCUCAACUUCUUGAAAAAGAACACACCACCAAAAAAUCAGCACCUACUUCCCUACCAAUUUCAAACCUGUGCCAAUGUCACUCCAGAUAUUCAAUGAUUUUUCAUUUCUCCAAUACAUUUAGUGUAGUUUUGUUUUGGAUUAAUUGUAAGUAAAAUGAUGCAGAAAUUACCCUCUCGAACUGCAGUCCAUUGAGCCCGAAUGGACUGUAGUUUCACCCGAAUAAUGGCGCUCAUUUUGUGUGUGCCCCUUAAAUGCUACUAUUUACAGAGAUUUUUUUGUUUAAUUUUAGAUUCCGACGAAAUAACUAGCUUUGUUUAAAUUCCUCAGUUUGAUUGAAUGGCGAUGUGUUUUUUUGGGAGUCGAUGUGAUUUGUUGAUUUGCAAGAAAGUUGUCAGAUUUUGGUAAAAAUAAUGAUUUUUUAUCCGGUUUAAGUCAUCAUGACACCUGCUAUUGACAUUUUUUGUAACCGUUUGAUCAUUUUAAAAGUCGAAGAUCAAAAAGAAACAAAAUCUCCAGAGAAAAUAUACAUUUUUAACAAAAACUGCUUUAACUUUAAAAUUUGACUGAAUCAAGCAGCACAACUCAAAUUGAGCAAAGUCAGAAGAACAAAUUUGUCAUGCUUCAGGUUAAUGACAGUAGCAGAAAAUAUCUAAAAUAUUGAAAACAUUUCAAGUGUAUUUUACCCACCCACACAUUAGGCCACUUUACCCUAAUGUUCAACACUAGUGUAUUUUACCCUAAUUCUCAAGAACAGAUCACUUUACCUUAAUGUUCAACAUUUAAAUAUUGUUCCUUAAUGCCCAACAAUAGGUCAUUCUACCGUAAUGCUCAAUACUAGAGUAUUUACCCUAAUAUUCAACACUUGAGUGUUUUACCUUUACGUUCAACACUAAAGUAUUUUACCCUAAUGUCCAACAACAGGUCACUUUACCCUAAUGUUCAACACUUGAGUAUUUUACCUUUACGUUCAACACUUAAAUAUUUUACCUUAAUGUCCAAAAAUAGGUUACUUUACCCUAUUAAUCAACACCAGAGUAUUUUGCUCUAAUGUCCAACACUAAAGAAUUUUACCCUUAUUCCAACUUGAAAAUAUUUCAUGUGUAUUUUACCCUUAUGUCCAACAAUAGGUAAAAAAAGCAAAGCAAUCCACUUGAACGAUCCCCUGGUCUUUUGUGGCAUCUGUUGCAAGUUUCUGCUCAUUUCUUGGUCACUUUACCCUAAUGUUCAACACUAGAGUAUUUUACUUUAAUUACCAAUACUAGAGUAUUUUACCCUAAUAUUCAAUAACAGGUCACUUUACCUUAAUGUUCAACACUAGAAUAUUUUACCCUAAUGUUCAAAAACAGGUACCCUAAUAAUCAACAAUUGAGUAUUCUACCCUAAUGAUCAACCCUUGAGUAUUUUAUCCUCAUGUUCCAACACUAAAUUAUUUUACACAAAUGUCCAACAAUAGGUCACUUUACCCUCGUGUUCAACACUAGAGUAUUUUAACCCUGAAGACCAAUACUAGAUAAUUUUAACUUAUAUUCAAUAACAGGUCACUUCACCUUGAUGUUCAACACUAGAAUAUUUUACCCUAAUGUCCAACAACAGGUCAGUUUACCCUAAUAUUCAACACUAGAGUAUUUUACCCUAAUGUUCAACAUUUGAGAUUUUUCUUCCCUUAUGACCAACACUAAAGUAUUUACCCUAAUGUCCAAAAACAGGUCACUUUACCCUAAUGUUCAACAGUAAAAUAUUUUAAUUGUACAUUUUUGAAGAAAAGAAUACUUUUUUAAAUUUUAUUUUUAUUGUAUUAUUUUCAUUUUUUCUAGCCCUUGAAAGUUUAUUAACAAUUAAAAAAUUGCAUGGGAUUCAGAUUUUUAUUGAAUUUUUCAAUUGAAUAAGGUAAACCAAAUUUUGAUAUAUUUUUUAUUUUUCACGGUUAAAUGAAACUAAACCAGCUCGCCCAAACCCACCAAUCGGCUCAACCCGUCGAUCUCAGCUGUCUCCAAACGAGUUCAACGCGUCUUAUAGUGUCUCUCCGGGAGAGGAUCAAAUCUCUCCCGAAUCCGCUCAGUUGUUUUGCUUCAUUUUUUUCUUUGUCUCUCUUUCCCUUUCCUCGCCGUCGUCUCGCUCAGUAAUAAUUACAGUACUUUAAUCAAUAAUUAUUCAAUAAUUAAUAAUAAUAAUUUAAAUAUACUUUUUUUUAUUAUAUAUCACAGUCGUGCUGCUGUUGAUAAAUUUUUUACUUGACUUUCAAUUGUUUUCUCUUCUCUCGCUCUUAAAAUCAGCAUCGGUCUUUGAGAGCGUGUGUGUGUGUUGGCCCAAGCCCAUUGUUCUCGCGCUCACUGCGUUACAUUUAAAACUUUCGCUCUCCUCUUUUACUCUGCUGCGUCUUGCGUUCUCUCUCUCUCUUUCUCAUUCUAGCUUAAUUUCUGCGCUUGCUUCUCGCAUGGUUCCUUGGUUGUUUGAUCCAUUAUUUGACACUUUCCGCAUUUGCUUAAUUUUUUUGCUUGUUUUCUUUUUUUGAUAAACGUUACUACACAAACUCGAAAGAAG